GAUGAACGCUGGCGGCGUGCCUAAUACAUGCAAGUCGAGCGAACAGACGAGGAGCUUGCUCCUCUGACGUUAGCGGCGGACGGGUGAGUAACACGUGGAUAACCUACCUAUAAGACUGGGAUAACUUCGGGAAACCGGAGCUAAUACCGGAUAAUAUAUUGAACCGCAUGGUUCAAUAGUGAAAGACGGUUUUGCUGUCACUUAUAGAUGGAUCCGCGCCGCAUUAGCUAGUUGGUAAGGUAACGGCUUACCAAGGCGACGAUGCGUAGCCGACCUGUGAGGGUGAUCGGCCACACUGGAACUUGGACACGGUCCAGACUCCUACGGGAGGCAGCAGUAGGGAAUCUUCCGCAAUGGGCGAAAGCCUGACGGAGCAACGCCGCGUGAGUGAUGAAGGUCUUCGGAUCGUAAAACUCUGUUAUUAGGGAAGAACAAAUGUGUAAGUAACUAUGCACGUCUUGACGGUACCUAAUCAGAAAGCCACGGCUAACUACGUG
rnacentral:rRNA from 1 species